rnacentral:lncRNA from 1 species
ACCGAAGGUAGCGGCUGCAUAUACGACACCAUUUCGCUUUCUCUUCCUAUUUAUAGUGUUCUUACAACGAUGAAUUUCUUGUCCAUAAAAUUUGCUUAAAAUGCAGCUUCAUUAACUAUGCUGUAGGCUGGGAGAUUUUCACUUCCCACCUAUACUAUACAUUACUAAUGCUUCUAGUCCAAAUACUAAUAUCAAAUUUCUUUCGUUUCAUUUACUACUUGACUCUCUCUCUCUCUCUCUCUCUCUCAGCUGCAGAUUUCCAGACCUUGAGGUUUCAAAGAGUCUCUUAAGCUGCAUAUUUGAGGUUUCAAAGAACUUGAAGAAUGCUGCGACAGGCGAUGCCGAUGCUAGCCUGUUUAUCACUGUACGACGCACAAGCGACCAAAUAAAGCCCCGACUAUAAUGAGUCGUCCUGCAAGAAUGCUGUUAGAACAUACAAAUAAACAUCACUCCCGGAAAAUUAGUGAACAAUUUGAGUGUUGGUUCAAUCACACAAGUCAAAAGAAUUAUAAGUUAAACCAGGUAUAAGGCUCAAAGAUAGAUAAAACUAACCUUCCAAAUAAAUUGUGCUUCCAUGGAACUAGGAUAGAUGAAGCAAUAGGUUGGAGUGGAUUGCUAAAACAACACAAACUCGACUCAAUUGGACAUUAAUUCAUAAAUCCACAAAUUUAGGAACCAGUAAAUAAUGGUCUGAUGUCAAACUACAAGACUAUAUCUUGAUUUUGAUCAUGGUGAGGUUCCAGUUUACUACACUAUGCUUUUCAUGAGAUUGUAUUAAAAACAUGCAAUCAGAUGAUAUACUGCACAAGUCAUCAGCUAAUGUACAACGAGAGUUGGCCAGAUAAACAGACCACACUUUGAGGAUUCUACCUCUCAAUUCUAUAUACAUCAUCUCAAAGAGAUUCGGGCGUUUUUUUAACCACGCAUUGCUGCUGUCUAUACCAAUUCUCUCAUACAUGGAAAUCUAAUUUGCAAUCAGGUACUCCGUACUUAAGAAGUUUUCAGUCUACAAUAUAUAAACUCCCAGUAACAAACACAAAAAUCCGGGCUUACAGCCAGCAUGCAGAAACAACAAAUACAGGUCACAUA